ACUCCUACGGGAGGCAGCAGUAGGGAAUCUUCCACAAUGGGCGCAAGCCUGAUGGAGCAACACCGCGUGAGUGAAGAAGGGUCUCGGCUCGUAAAGCUCUGUUGUUAAAGAAGAACACGUAUGAGAGUAACUGUUCAUACGUUGACGGUAUUUAACCAGAAAGUCACGGCUAACUACGUGCCAGCAGCCGCGGUAAUACGUAGGUGGCAAGCGUUAUCCGGAUUUAUUGGGGCGUAAAGAGAGUGCAGGCGGUUUUCUAAGUCUGAUGUGAAAGCCUUCGGCUUAACCGGAGAAGUGCAUCGGAAACUGGAUAACUUGAGUGCAGAAGAGGGUAGUGGAACUCCAUGUGUAGAGGUGGAAUGCGUAGAUAUAUGGAAGAACACCAGUGGCGAAGGCGGCUACCUGGUCUGCAACUGACGCUGAGACUCGAAAGCAUGGGUAGCGAACAGGAUUAGAUACCCUGGUAGGAUAGCG
rnacentral:rRNA from 1 species